rnacentral:lncRNA from 1 species
UAUGUUUGAUGCAUCUAAUUUGAACUUGAAAAUUUUUAACAUGACUUAGCCUACUUCUCUUCUUUGAUGCAACCUUUGCAUCCACAUGUUUAAACCAAAACUAAUGUGAAAACCACGUCAAAUUUUUACAUGAAGAACUCUCCAUUGAAAGUUUAGAAAUGAGGUACAUAAGAAAGACACUACUAAAUUACUCUUGAUAUGGAAAUAGAUGAAGAGUAUUUAAUGUAGUUGGUACAUCAUUCUUGCCCAUGAGUUGUCUUGACUAGUAGUUUGAUAGGCCCCACCAUGCAUGCUGAAAUCUAUAUUAUAUUUAAGGCUAUUUAUGAUGAAAGAAACCGUGAUAGUUACAAAUUAUAGAGAAGACUUGGUUUUACUUUAAUAUGUGCCACACGUUUAAAGGAUGAAGUCUUUCAAACUAAAAUUUUCUUGUAAGAUUUAUUAAAGUCAUGAUAUUCAUAUUAAUAUCAAAUCUAAGAGUCUUUAUUUACCCAUUUAACGAUGCAAAAAUUAAACUAAUUUAAUUCAAUUGUUUAAUUUUUUGAUUUUAUUUCCUAUUUUUCUAUUUUGUUUUUUUAAUAUCAUUAAAAGUCCUAGGUCAAAAUCACAAGGAUAAAGUAACUUUUUUUAUAUUUUCUUUUAAUGCUCUUAAAUUAAUAACUAGAAUGUGCUAAGUGACUUUUAAACUUCAAACUAAUGUUAAAAUGAUAAGGUUUUCAUGUGCAUUCCACGACACAAGAGAGGUAUCAUACCAUUGUUUUAUAGAGGGUAGAAUGUGAGAAAGCUUAUAUUGAUUUUUGAAAUCUAGUAAUUGAAUUUGAUCUUUAAACAUUAUAUAGUCUAGAUGAAUGGAGUUAAGGUACCUCUAUAGUACCUUCUAGGAUGAUUUUGCUCCUUAUCAUGUCUCCCAAGAUGUUAAUGGAAAGUCCACAUUGUUUCAAAAAAUAUUAUCUUUUUAUUAUUGUUACCUAAAUUAUAAUUUUAGAAGUAUUUCUACUUUAAUUGGCCUAUCUUAACUAUAAAGCACCCGUUAAUAGUCCUAUAGUGUAAACUUUAAUUUUAUUGCAAUAUUUCAUUUUUAGGAGUCUUCAAAUCCUUUUUUUUUUUUUUUUUAUCAAUUUCCAACACCACAACUUCAAAUAUAUUAGUUACAAGUGUUUGUAAAAUGGUUAAUUCCAAUCAUACCCCAUAAGGUUUAAUGUAAAUACACUAAACGACCAUUGAUUUUAAAUUUCAUUAGUUAGAACUUCUAUAGAUGUAUUUUGUUUAUAUACAUUAUUUUUAGAUAAGAAAAUUUAUUUUUAGAGAAUUGUUGAACACAUAUACCCAAGAUAUUUUUACAUAAAUAAAGAAUAAAAUUUAAAUACAAAUUACAUCUAUAAGAGUGCAAAUCAAUGAAAUUUGAAACCAUUUGUGGCUAAGUAUAUUUACCUUAAGUGAAAUUAACUCACUUGUAAAAUGAUUGGUAAUAUACAUAAAGGAUUUGAAUGUUUCAACGAUAAAAGCAAAUUCUUGGAAUAAAAAAAAACAAAAAAAAAUAACUACCCAAUCAAAAAAGACAUGUAGAUUCUUUCAAUCAACGACUAUCAUAUAAAAGUUGUCGUAAUGGAGAAGGCUAGAUAAAAAUAAUUGUAAAUGACUUGACUUUGAGAAAAUGAUAUAAAAUUUAUAAGUAACUAAUGAUUUGUGGGACCAUUAAAUUCAAUAAACAAAUAUAUAGUUUCAUAAUAUAUAUGUUAAUUGAGAAAAAACAACGUUAUUCUAAUACUAUUUUAAAUAUUUAUCAAACAAUGUAAAUAUAUGUAAGUAUUCAUCGAUAAUCAAGUAAAUUUAUAGAAAAAUAAGUGUUUAGUUACUUAAGAAAUUAUUAGUCAUAUCAAACAUGUUGCUCAUGUUUGAUGCAUCUAAUUGGAACUUGAAAAUUUAUAGGAUGAUUUAGUCUACUUCAAACCAAAUUUUAUGAUAUACUCAAGUAGAACUACUAUUUUAGUAUGACAUCUAAGUUACAAUUUCUAAAUGCAUGCUUGCUUUAAUUGGCAUCUCUAAACAUAAACACUCGUUAAAAGUCUCAUAAUGCAACUUCAAUUUUACUACAAGAUUUCAUUUUUAUAGGUGUUCAAAUCAUUUUUU